GACGAACGCUGGCGGCAUGCCUAACACAUGCAAGUCGAACGAGACCUUCGGGUCUAGUGGCGCACGGGUGCGUAACGCGUGGGAACCUGCCCUUAGGUUCGGAAUAACUCCCCGAAAGGGGUGCUAAUAGCGGAUAAUGUCUUCGGACCAAAGAUUUAUCGCCUUUGGAUGGGCGCUCGUUGGAUUAGCUAGUUGGUAGUGUAAAAGCCUACCAAGGCGACGAUGCAUAGCUGGUCUGAGAGGAUGAUCAGCCACACUGGGACUGAGACACGGCCCAGACUCGUACGGGAGGCAGCAGUGGGGAAUAUUGGACGAGGGGCGAAAGCCUGAUCAAGCAAUGCCGGGUGAGUGAUGAAGGGCUUAGGGUUGUAAAGCUCUUUUACCCGGGAUGAUAAUGACAGUACCGGGAGAAUAAGCGCCGGCUAACUCCGUG
rnacentral:rRNA from 1 species